rnacentral:lncRNA from 1 species
AGUCUUAGACUGUCACUGUCAUGCAGAAAAUGUUUCUUAAUCUCUAGCAGAAGAGGAGAGCGUGGGCUGAGGCAAGACUUGGGGUUUUUUUUGGUAGGUUCUGUGCCCCAGAAGACCACCCAGGUGAUCUCCAAGAGAACUUCUCACAAGGUGUGGUCAAACCAAUAGAAUGUCCAGCAGGAUAUUACUGCCCAUCGGGAACAAGAGCUGCCAAUCAGUACCCGUGCCCAGAGGGCACCUACAGUAACCAAACUGGAGUGGGAAAUCCCAGGGAAUGCAAGCCUUGUCCUGGAGGCACAUUUUGUGCCAGUGCAGGACUCUCGUCCCCAAGCGGUCCUUGUUUGCCUGGGUAUUACUGCACUUCGAAGGCCCGUGUACCCAAUCCUGUCAAUGAUGAGACGGGCAGCCUUUGCCCAGCAGGCUGUUACUGCCCACCUGGCAGCAGCAAACCAGAGCUGUGUCCCACUGGCACGUUCUUACCUCAGUCUGGGAUGGUUUACCGUAACGCCUGUCUGCCCUGCCCUGGGGGGAAGUUCUGCCAAGGAGAAGGCCUGGCCAGGGUUUCUGGUGCGUAAUACAUGCAUCUAACAUCUUUUUUGUCUCCUACUUUGAACUUUUUUAUGUUUUCUGGUUGCUUAAACGUAAUGCCGAAGCUUUUCUUUCUCGCAGGAACAUGUUACGCUGGGUAUUUCUGUGAUCUUGGAUCCACACAGCCGGAUCAUAAGCGUUGCCCCCCUGGCUUCUACUGUCCCGAAGGCUCUGAAUCCCCGAUCCCAUGCAGCCCUGGAAGCUUCAACUCUGAGAGUGGAAAAUGGCAGUCGACAGACUGUCAGCUCUGCCCAGCUGGAUACUUCUGCACUGGUUCUGGAGCACGUACUCCUGAGCUGUGUCCUGCUGGGUACUUCUGUCUGCCAGGUACCAACUUCAGUACAGAGCAUCCGUGUCCCAAGGGUACUUUUGGCCCCAGGACUGGUGCCACUGGCGAGUCUGACUGUGAGCCCUGCCCAGCAGGCAUGUAUUGCUCAGCACCGGGUCUGUCACAGCCUUCUGGAUUUUGCUAUUCAGGUUAUCAUUGUGCCAAGGGAACCAUCAGCCCAGCGCCCUUCAGACCCAGGGUGAGUGAGUGCCAGGGGGCAGCACAGCAUUCCUAGUGACUCCUGGGGACAAGGACUGGACCUUCACAACCUUGUAGCUCCUGGUGUAACAUUUUCCAAGCAUUACUGCUCUGUAUGGGGUUGCUCAUGCCUUUUACCGCUGCCCUAGAGAGCUCCUCAAAUGUGAUGACAUGCUGCUCUUAAUGUCUGAUGGAAUAUGUUGCUGCCUACUAAUAAAUUCUGGCCAGACUUCCGUUUCUGUAGAUUG